GACGAACGCUGGCGGCGUGCCUAAUACAUGCAAGUCGACCUUAGUGGCGGACGGGUGAGUAAUGCCUAGGAAUCUGCCUGGUAGUGGGGGAUAACGUCCGGAAACGGGCGCUAAUACCGCAUACUAUCAGAUGAGCCUAGGUCGGAUUAGCUAGUUGGUGGGGUAAAGGCCUACCAAGGCGACGAUCCGUAACUGGUCUGAGAGGAUGAGUAGUAAAACGGGAACUGAUACGCGGUCCAGACGACUACGGGAUGCAGCAGUGGUGAAUAUUGGACAAUGGGUGAAAGGCUGAUACAGCCAUGCCGGGUGUGUGAAGAAGGUCUUCUGAUUGUAAAGGUUGUUAAGUUGGGAGUCGUGACCAACAGAAUAAGCACCGGCUAACUUCGUGCCAGCAGCCGCGGUAAUAC
rnacentral:rRNA from 1 species